AUGAAACCAUACGUGUCGGAACAGAACAAAACGACAGAACUGGAGUGCAGCCCUCAGGUUUUCCAAGUACAAGGAAACACGAAACAAGCGGUGUUCACUUGCAAGUUCGCCACGAGGAGUUGCAUAUCGUCGGACAAGGAACAACAGUCCAAAGAGAGAUAAGGUUGGUCCACAACGGUUCAUGACCUCUCCGGCUCACCGGUAGCGAUGGCUUCCAUGGUCACACCAUUCGUUCCAUCUCCAGGUUCGAACCGCGUGACGCGAUCAAGUCCCGGCGCGUGGCUUAUUCUCCGACCCGACGGUUGCACGUGGAAGCCGUGGGGACGACUAGAGGCAUGGCGUGAAACUGGUUACUCCGACGAACUCGGUUACCGCUUCGAGCUCUUCCAUGACGGAGUCGCCACCGAGGUCUACGCAUCGUCGUCUAUCAGUUUGAAAAAUGGCGGGAGUUUCGUUAUCGACGUUACCGUUGGGACAAACACGGCGGUCUCUACGCCGACAACGAGUCCUCAGGGAAGCUGUGAUCUCGGAUCCGGAUCUAGCGCCGGGUCGAGACCAUGAUCAGGAUCCUGGUCGGAGUUCGGAUAUCUACUGCCGCAGCACCCGGCGCAAAAGAGAGGGGUUUGUUAUGUUGGCUUCGGUGGAAGGAGUUGGGAAACGGAGAAAACCGGAGGUGGAAGUUGGUGCGACGCACGUGACAUGCACGGAGGAUGCAGCAGCGCACGUGGCGCUAGCUGCGGCGGUAGAUCUCAGUUUGGACGCUUGCAAGCUGUUUUCUCAUAAGCUAAGGAAGGAGUAGACAGCAAAGCCAGCUUGGUGUCGUUUGACGUAUAUUGCUUUGUCGUUUUACCGAUUCAUGAUGUCUUUUAGAAAAUGUUUAUUAAUUUAGGACUUUAGCCAACCAAUUAAAAUUGUUUGUAUAUUUCAUGUACAGCUAAAAUGACAGUAACAGCUUCUUAUCUCAUUAUCCGAUCCUUUUUAACUU